UUUUUUUUUUUAAAAAGGUUUAAAACCCCAAAAAAAAAAAAAAAAAAAAUACAGCCGCAGCUGCUACGGCCUGAAAACUCAAACAAGUUGGAGUGAAAACCUAAAGCUCACCGGAUAACAUAGCCGGCAUCAUCUCCGGCCGCUAGAAACAGUUCAUCCACAUGACACCAUUGUUAGGGCGUGUUAAUAAGUUUGUAUUUUCCUCCCAAAUUGAAGGGUUUCUUUCCCUUAUUAAUUCCAAACAAUAUCUUCAACCAUGGUUUAUUACUGUGCGCAAUUUUAGCUUCAAUGAUGAUCGCGGUGGCGCGCGAGAAUACCCAAGUUUUAAUGACAAUGGUAGUAAUAGGAGUGACAAAGCAUUCGAUAUUCAACAAUCUUCGUCGGAAUCAGGUCCAAGUAGGUCUUUUAGAGGUCAGAAGCAAAUUAAUCAAACUCCUUUGAAUUCCCAAGAAUAUAGUAGAGGUGGUCGUUCUGUUCGUCCGAGAUUUGAUGACAGACGUGGCAGUAAAUCGUCGCAGAUUGAUCUUGGAUUUCAGGGCAGAAAUGUUGCUGAAGUUAGUAGAGAUGCGGGUCAAUUAGGAGAUAGUUUCCUUGAUAAAUUUAAGCUUGGUUUUGAUGAUAAAGUAGGGAAUCACUCGGAGGUUGAAUCAAACGGCCAAACUGAAGGAUCAAGGGCGUCCGAUACUGAUCAACCAGCGCAAGAGCCCAUGCCUCAAGAUGCCGAUGAAAUCUUCAAGAAGAUGAAGGAAACAGGUCUUAUCCCUAAUGCAGUGGCUAUGCUUGAUGGUCUAUGUAAAGAUGGUAAUGUCCAAGAAGCUUUGAAGCUUUUUGGUUUGAUGCGUGAAAAGGGAACGAUUCCAGAGAUUGUCAUUUACACAGCUGUAGUGGAGGGCUAUACAAAGGCUCACAAGGCUGAUGAUGCCAUAAGAAUUUUCAGAAAAAUGCAGAGUAAUGGCAUUUCACCAAAUGCUUACAGUUUUACUGUACUUAUACAAGGACUCUACAAAUGUAGCAGAUUACAGGAUGCUCUUGAAUUUUGCGUGGAGAUGUUAGAAGCAGGUUAUUCUCUAAAUGUGACAACUUUUGUAGGUGUGGUUGAUGGUUUCUGCAAGGAAGAUGGAGUUGAAGAAGCUAAAGGUGUUAUCAAGACAUUAACAGAGAAGGGUUUUGCUUAUGAUGAGAAAGCUGUUCGGGAGUUUUUGGACAAGAAAGCACCAUUUUCACCCUCCAUUUGGGAGGCCGUCUUCGGGAAGAAAGUUUCGCAGAGACCAUUUUAAAUAUAUUUUCAGACUAUAGAUGAAUGUGCAAUAGUAACCCUAAAAUGAGACAGAUCUGUGGCAAAAAAUUUGUAGCAACAAUGUGGAUAAGGUGGAUGAAAGAGGUAGUGUGCAAGUCUCCAAGCCUUGAAACGGUGAAAACAUUUGUUGUCAUUUUAAUGGUUUGGAGAUUAUUGAUCUUUGUUUUGAACAACAUUUUUCACCAGUUUCUGGCUAGAGAUCAUUGGAACCGUUUGGGUAUUUGACUCAAGGGGCCAGCGAAUAGUGGAAAGGCUGGUAUUGGUCGGUGAAGCAAGCUCAUGUCCAUAAACUCGUUUCAAUCAGAUGAUAAAAGUUACAGGGUUAACAAAUAUGUGUAAUUUUUUGUCCACUGCUCUGUCUUGAUUCUUUUUGUGGCAAAUAAGAAUGAUCCAUUUGGUAAUUCUAUAAUAGCGAGGUGGGUUAUCACUUUAGGUUCAAAUAUAUCGUUACAUAUCUGAUAUUGGAAGCUAUAAUACAUUCUGCAUUUGACUCUUGUUAAAUGUAGGUAGCAAAUAUCAGAGGGCAGUGGUUCUUAGCCUUAUAUGCAUGUCAUGCUAGUACUUUUUUUCCUGAUUCAUGGUUACUCAACUCCAUUGGAGCUUUAUAAUAUUUUAGAAGAAACAACUUGAAUCAGUUAUUUGUUUUAGCAUGUAAUCGGAAUUAAAGUUUUGAAAACUCCAUUAGUAUGCCAGAGGAGUCAUGGUCAAGGUACAUAGACGUGUUAGAUUUCAAAAAUACUUGAUCAACUUUGAAACUCCAUUUUAUAUUCUUCAAGCUGUUGAUACUGUUUAUGGUUUUGAUUAUUUUGUUGCUU